AACAAACAGUGCAUUUAACUGAUGGCGCAGGCGCAGAACAGCGCCGGAAGAUGCCCAACCCUGAUUUCAGGCGGAGCCAGGGCCCUAUGCCCAGCAAGGGGGAGAAUCAGCGCGCCGCACAAGACUGACGAAGUGACAAAUAGAUGGUAUUCUGAUGACAAACUGGUGACUGGUAUUUUCUAGAAGAGUAUGUAACAACUUGGUGGCAGAGAUUGAAGGCAAUCAGCUCAACGACUGUACUGUAUAAUAUGUGGGAUCUGUUCUGCAGGGUAUUUAUCUGAUGACAUGAAUGAACAUGAUUUGUUUCUUGCUUCCUUUCUGCAUCUGUGAUAAAAAAUGAAUCCUCCUGUUCUGGCCUGAGGGUAGUGCCUAGUGAGUUUCUAAAUUUCUGAAUCAUUUUAUCUCAACGCUAAUAUGUUUUUCUUUGAAAACUCUGUGGUAGAUUUGGAAUAUCACAAACUAUAUGCUCUUUUCAAUGGGUUGUUUUUACCCAAUAAACAUUUCUAAAACAUAA